UGCUACAAAGUCACUGUGCUUUAGAUUUUUCAGUGAAAUGAUAUUCACUUAAUAUCUUUACUCUUAACAGUUUUACCCCAUUUCUAAAGCAGGUGUUUAAAUGUAUCAUCAGUCUGUCGGCCAGAUUUCUCCAAAGAAUCAGAAGCAAUGGGAUAUUGGGACAGAGGAAUCGCCUCCCUGAGGAGCAGACCAACAGGCUAAAAAUAUGGAGACGUGGGGAAGGGUGGUGGAACAGUCCUGCGAUGGAGACACACAGGACCCUCAGGACGACUUUCUAGGUAAACCGAGUACAGUGAAGCGACCACUUAAAGAGUCAUAUGUGGAGAGGGACCUUGAGUCUCUGCAGUUCCGGAAUGCUGUGUAGAAGUUCUCGUUAGCUAAAGUGCAGACAUACACAUCUGCAGAACUACUUGUGAACCACAAAUGGACAGACACACAUUCACCCAGAAUCUCUGGCAAAAGGUGAAAUGAAAUAUGACCAGGAGGGACAGAAGAGAUGGAAA